CUUCUGAUCUGGUUAUUUUUGGUAGUCAAUAACUACUAACUAGUAAAUAUACGCUCAUGAACUGAGGACUCACCAAAACUCAGUAUCUUACUUCCAAGCAAUUCCACUGCUUUGACAAUAAAUGUGAUGAAGCGUACCCCACAGCUGAAGUUCAAACUUCCUGAAAAUAGUAGCAAUUGCGAUAAGCAGUGUCGUCUGCGCUAGACUGUUAAAUGGUAGAGCAAGCAUCAGAUUGGACACCAGGUAUCUCUCAAGUCGCUUUCGUUCCUGCAGGUCCAGCCAGCGCUCUGGAGCAAACUUGCAUGAGUCUGGGAAGAUGGUUUCAUUGUGGUGCAUGAGAACCGAUGUCAUUCCAACGGGAGUCUGUCAAUUGGAAGAAAGGGCUCAUGAGCAAUGUCCGUCUUGUCGAUGUUCAAAUAAUAAUAAGAUAGCGACUUCCGUUGCAGCCGUGUGCUUACUCCGUACGACAACCUAGGAGUCAAGUUUCAGUAUGGCAUCCUUUACAUCACUUUCCACUGGCCAUCAUUACCGCAAUCCCUCAAGGAUGACCGAAGUCUAACACCGAAGAGUUAGUUAACCUUCUGUCAAUCUGGGUUCCCGGAAGUACACCAGGAGACAAACCAGGUAUGGAAGCUUUCCCAGCUCGUGGACUUGCUGCUCAGAAUUGCCACCGUCUUCCAAAAUGGAAAGCUCGUUUUGAAGUUUUUGGAGUUUGUCUGGAUUGUCGAGAAGAUGGUAUGUUAUGACAGUUGGCGCGUUUGACGUUGUUUCAAUACCCGCAGCUGUUGUAGAUCGGAUUUCUUGGAGAAUUCGCUCAGGAGUUUUCUCUUCAACUUCCAAAUUAGAAUCAAGGAUUUGGUCGAUCAAC
rnacentral:sRNA from 1 species